GAAUAUUGGACAAUGGAGGCAACUCUGAUCCAGCCAUACCGCGUGAAUGAAGAAGGUCCUCUGGAUUGUAAAAUUCUUUUAUACAGGAAGAAACGUUGGUUUGCGAACUAACUUUGACGGUACUGUAUGAAUAAGCACCGGCUAACUACGUGCCAGCAGCCGCGGUAAUACGUAGGGUGCAAGCGUUGUCCGGAAUUAGUGGGUUUAAAGGGUACGUAGGUGGGCGUCUAAGUCUGGAGUGAAAGUUUGAGGCUCAACCUCGAAAGUGCUUUGGAUACUGGGCGUCUAGAAUUAGAGAGAGGUAGCUGGAAUUUGUGGUGUAGCGGUGAAAUGCGUAGAUACCACGAGGAACACCUAUUGCGAAGGCAGGCUACUGGCCCUAUAUUGACACUGAUGUACGAAAGUGUGGGUAGCGAACAGG
rnacentral:rRNA from 1 species